rnacentral:tRNA from 1 species
GGCUUCAUGGUCUAGCGUAUGAUUCUCGCUUUGGGUGCGAGAGGUCCCGGGUUCAAUCCCCGGUGGAGCCC